rnacentral:rRNA from 1 species
GAUGAACGCUGGCGGCGUGCUUAACACAUGCAAGUCGAACGGGAAACCUUUUAUUGAAGCUUCGGCAGAUUUAGCUGGUUUCUAGUGGCGGACGGGUGAGUAACGCGUGGGUAACCUGCCUUAUACAGGGGGAUAACAGUCAGAAAUGGCUGCUAAUACCGCAUAAGCGCACAGAGCUGCAUGGCUCAGUGGGAAGAACUCCGGUGGUAUAAGAUGGACCCGCGUUGGAUUAGCUGGUUGGUGGGGUAACGGCCCACCAAGGCGACGAUGCAUAGCCGGCCGGGGAGGGUGACCCGCCGGAUUGGGAAUGAGGCACGGCCCCGACUCCUACGGGAGGCAGCAGAAGGGAGUAUUGCAGACUGAGGGAAAACCUGAUGAAGCGGCGCCGCGGGAAGGAAGAAGUAUCUCGGAAUGUACACUUCUAUCAGCAGGGAAGAUAAUGACGGUACCUGACUAAGAAGCACCGGCUAACUACGUG